rnacentral:rRNA from 1 species
UGAGUAACACGUGGGUGAUCUGCCUCGAGGUGGGGAAUAACUACUCGAAAGGGUAGCUAAUACCGCAUGUGGUCUGCGAAGAAGAAAGGUCGGAAGACCGCCUUGAGAUGAGCCCGCGGCCGAUUAGCUAGUUGGUGAGGUAACGGCCCACCAAGGCGACGAUCGGUAGCUGGUCUGAGAGGAUGAUCAGCCACACUGGGAUUGAGAACGGCCCAGACUCCUACGGGAGGCAGCAGUAAGGGAUAUUGCACAAUGGGGGAAACCCUGAUGCAGCAACGCCGCGUGGGUGAAGAAGGCUUUCGAGUCGUAAAACCCUUUUCUAGGGGAAGAGGAAGGACAGUACCCUAGGAAGAAGUCUCGGCUAACUACGUGCCAGCAGCCGCGGUAAGACGUAGGAGGCGAGCGUUAUCCGGAUUUAUUGGGCGUAAAGGGCAAGUAGGCGGUUCUCAAAGUUGGGCGUGACAGACCCCGGCUUAACUGGGGGAGGUCGUUCAAAACUAGGGGACUAGAGGGCAGAAGAGGAAAGCGGAACUCCUGAUGUAGCGGUGGAAUGCUCAGAUAUCAGGAAGAACACCAGUGGCGAAGGCGGCUUUCUGGUCUGCACCUGACGCUGAUAGGCGAAGGCCAGGGUAGCGAACGGGCUUAGAUACCCCGGUAGUCCUGGCAGUAAACGGUGGAUACUAGGUAUCAGGGGUCAAGGCCUUUGGUGCCGAAGUCAACGCGUUAAGUAUCCCGCCUGGGGACUACGGCCGCAAGGUUAAAACUCAAAUGAAUUGACGG